GUGCAGUUCGCUGUUGUUCCAUUUCGCGCCAUCACCUCUCAGAUGUAGCGCAGUUUUCAAGCAGACAGUCAAUCAUUUCUUCUGCUAGUCGCAACAGUUUCAAUGACUAGUUGGUCCGUGCCCUGGGUCAUGUGACCACUGACCGCUGCUGAAAGGAGUGUUCUUGUCUCCUGGGGGUUUUUCAUGGAUUCACCCAAUCCACAAUGAACAAUAAAGUCUAUCAAUAGAAUAUCCAA